UACGUAGGGGUCAAGCGUUAUCCGGAUUCACUAGGUGUAAAGGGAGCGUAGACGGCCAUGCAAGCCUGGAGUGAAAGCCCGGGGCCCAACCCCGGGACUGCUCUGGGAACUGUGCGGCUGGAGUGCGGGAGGGGCAGGCGGAAUUCCUGGUGUAGCGGUGAAAUGCGUAGAUAUCAGGAGGAACACCGGCGGCGAAGGCGGCCUGCUGGACCGCGACUGACGUUGAGGCUCGAAAGCGUGGGGAGCAAACAGG
rnacentral:rRNA from 1 species